rfam:Felis catus isolate Cinnamon breed Abyssinian chromosome A2, whole genome shotgun sequence.
GCCUGGCUGGCUCAGUUGGAGGAGCGUGUGACUCUUGAUCUCAACGUGGUGGAUUCGAGCCCCACGUUGGGUG